GGAUCUUUUAGAAGUUCUAGAGAAGAGCCUUCCCCUUCGGGGGACAAAGUGACAGGUGGUGCAUGGUUGUCGUCAGCUCGUGUCGUGAGAUGUUGGGUUAAGUCCCGCAACGAGCGCAACCCUUAAGCUUAGUUGCCAUCAUUAAGUUGGGCACUCUAGGUUGACUGCCGGUGACAAACCGGAGGAAGGUGGGGAUGACGUCAAAUCAUCAUGCCCCUUAUGAUUUGGGCUACACACGUGCUACAAUGGAUAAUACAAAGGGCAGCUAAACCGCGAGGUCAUGCAAAUCCCAUAAAAUUGUUCUCAGUUCGGAUUGUAGUCUGCAACUCGACUACAUGAAGCUGGAAUCGCUAGUAAUCGUAGAUCAGCAUGCUACGGUGAAUACGUUCCCGGGUCUUGUACACACCGAACUU
rnacentral:rRNA from 1 species